rnacentral:rRNA from 1 species
AAUGAACGUUGGCGGCGUGGAUUAGGCAUGCAAGUCGAGCGGUAGGGAACCUCUCACUCAUGCUCUCUUUGAACGGGGUCGAGGACGACCCGGCUCGCGAGCCGGCCCCGACUGAGAGAGUUGCGUGAGGGGUUCCUGAGAGCGGCGAAAGGGAGAGUAACGCGUAGUUACGUACCCCGAGGACCGGAAUAGCCACGGGAAACUGUGGGUAAUGCCGGAUAACAUCUUCGGAUCAAAGGUGUGAUUCCGCCUCGGGAGCGGACUGCGUUGUACUAGCUUGUUGGUAGGGUAAUGGCCUACCAAGGCGAUGAUGCAUAGCGGGUGUGAGAGCAUGACCCGUCUCACUGGGACUGAGACACUGCCCAGACACCUACGGGUGCUGCAGUCGAGAAUCUUCGGCAAUGAGCGCAAGCUUGACCGAGCGACGCCGCGUGU